ensembl:lincRNA
GAGAGAGUUUAGAACUGAGGUCUGCUGCUGCUGCUAAGUUGCUUAAGUCAUGUCCAACUCUCUGUGACCCUAUAGAUGGCAGCCCACCAGGCUCCCCUGUUGCCGGGAUUCUUCAGGCAAGAACACUGGAGUAGGCUGCCAUUUCCUUCUCCAAUGCAUGAAAGUGAAAAGUGAGAGUGAAGUUGCUCAGUCAUUUCCGACUCUUAGCGACCCCAUGGACUGCAGCUCACCAGGCUUCUUCGCCCAUGUGAUUUUCCAGGCAAGAGUACUGGACUGGGAUGCCAUUGCCUUCUGCGACAGGUGAGGUCUGGUGGUCUCUAAAUCUGUCUCCAAAAGACAGACCAUCCAAGGAGAGACCUUGAAUUACAGCUGUAAUCAGCUAAUUAUAAUGAGGUAUGUUGGUUAAGUCCAAAGAGGGAGCAAGUGUGUCCCGGUGGCAGAGGGUGAAGACUGCCCCCAUCUGUUUCCCCACUUCCUGCUGCCCAGGGGCCCAGACAACUUAUGUUCCGAGAAUGUCUUCUUUUGGCUCGGGUAUCUGGAAGGAGGCCUGCCAUUUGUUUCUCAAGGAGGGUGCAGUCAUGAAGUCUCUUUAGUCAAUUGAAAAUGAAAAUCCUGCUACCUACUGAAGUGGCAGAUGGGGUGAGGGUGAGACAGGGCCCCUCAGCUCCUGGUCCCAGAAAGAGGGCAGAGGGGAAGACAGAGACCUGUGAUGAGCCCGCGCGCACGGUGUUCCUUUCACUGCUCACUGAGGCGGCAUCACAGUUUGAGUUCCUUCCUCAGCCUGGUCCAGUGUCCUCACAGAUCUCACAGGCUGGAGCGGUAAUCAAGCACGGUCAGAGCCCUGGGGAGUUUCAGAUGAGCCCAGAUGCACCACGAAGCAGCGGUGGCCAUCAGCAGGUCUUCAUGGAGUGGGCAACUUCUGAACUGGGUCUAAGGGAUGGAACAUCAGGACCACAGAAGGCGGCUGCUCUGAGCUGGGGACAGCUGUACACACAGUUACCCGCAGCUCCUGUGCUGAGAUCAAGAAGGAUGGAUGUCAGGUCCAGGCUCUCACCAGGAGCACUCCUCCUCCACCAUCUCCUAUGGGGCAGGUUCUGAGCAGUCCAUAUUUCCAGCUCAGAAAAGACUUGGCCUGUGCUUUGCAACUUAGAAACCCCUGUCCGCCACACUGGACUCACUUGCGUCUCACCUGCCCUGCAGUCACCCCACUUCCAGAGGUAUUUGCAGUCUUUGUUCAGUGGGUGAGAACCCAGAGGGCAGGCGCUGAGGCUCCUCCAGCCGCCAUGAUCCACCUACCCCUCUGUGAGGAGUCCUGAGCCUCUGAGGGGAUGGGGCCCCUUCCGUGGGUCUCCCUGGGGCUGUGAUGGAACCUCCUUCCUCCUGGACCAGCACAAGGAUGACUUGUCCAUACCCGUGAGGGGGCGGGUAGGAGCACACAGCGGCCUCGAGGGCCCUGCGCCCUGGGAUCCUGGGGGUGGAAGUGGUGAGGGAAGGGGCCCGCAGGGUGGCUCACGCGCGUGGGGGCCAGGACACCAGGCUGCUUCCAAGUGGCCAUACCAGCCACAGACGCUGAUGGGGACAAAGUGCUCCAGGUCUAUGCAAGCCAGUCACGCAGCGAGUGCUCUCAGAACCAGUGUUUAUGGUAAAACACCUGUGCUGAUUGGCAACAGGGGAAGGGAUGCCUGUGACCCAGGAAACUCUCCCCUGACCUUCAGGAAACACUCUGACAGGGUCUCUGAAGAUUCAAAAAAAAAAAAAUCUGCUUUGGUUAAGAAGACAGGGGAGGAAUUGAACACUGGCUGCAAAGGUACAUUUUUGAAGAAGUAGAAAACAGCACUAUUUCUAAGUUAAAAGCCUGUGUUUAGAACAAGCUUACUUAAUGACUAACUGUAUAAUGCAGGCAUUGGUGGAAGUAAAAGCUGUGUUGUAGGCUGUGGUAACUCCCA